ACCUGGUUGGCUCGGUCAGUGGAGCAUGUGACUCUUGAUCUUGGGGUUGUGAGUUCUAGCCCCACAUUGGGUA
rnacentral:tRNA from 1 species